rnacentral:rRNA from 1 species
UACGUAGGGUGCGAGCGUUAAUCGGAAUUACUGGGCGUAAAGCGUGCGCAGGCGGCGCGUUAAGACAGGUGUGAAAUCCCCGGGCUUAACCUGGGAAUUGCGCUUGAAACUAGCGGGCUUGAGUGUGGCAGAGGGGGGUGGAAUUCCACGUGUAGCAGUGAAAUGCGUAGAGAUGUGGAGGAACACCGAUGGCGAAGGCAGCCCCCUGGGUCAACACUGACGCUCAUGCACGAAAGCGUGGGGAGCAAACAGG